CGCCCUUCGGCUGCCGGGAGCCCGAGCUCCCUUCCGCUUCCGACGCGCUGUCCGCCAGCCGGUGGAUGUGCGGCAACAACAUGUCCGCCCCGAUGCCCGCCGUUGUGCCCGCCGCCCGGAAGGCCACCGCCGCGGUUAUUUUCCUUCACGGAUUGGGAGAUACUGGACAAAGUCCUUUGCUGUCCUGGAACUCCCAGGGUAGACCAGGAGGACCUGGCUUCAAACUCAAGAGAUUUGCCUUAUAGAGUGCUGGAAUUAAAGGCUUGUUCCCCCAUGCCUGGCAACGAAGAGGAUUUUAAAUGGCAGAACUUCUGGGAAGGUGUUCUUUGUUUUGUUUUGUCUCAUUCUUUUAUUUUGUUUCCUGCCGGGUCUUGUAGACCAAGCAAGGCAAAGUAAGAACAAAACUUAAGUAGAGGUGGGUCCCCUACAGGUGGAGUGUCGCCAGAUUCCUUAAACUAAAAAGUGGAAAUGUGAAGGAAGAAAAUCAAUUUGGAAAUGGCAGAGGCUGCUGUGAUGAGAGAUGUUAUUGCUUUGAUGUUUCAGUUGCUUAUAUAAAAACUCAGAAGUACCCAGAUAUGAAAACCCCACACCAACUGUCACUAAGGAAACGGGAACUUUGUUAAUUUCAUGAAUACGUGAACUCAGAACUAAAUGGUCUAGUAGGUAGCAAUUUAGUGUUUAAACUCUUUAACCAAAGUCAUCUGGCAUGUUUAUGUUUAUAACGUGCAUUAAAUUAAAGUAAAUAUUGAAGAAAUCGUGUUC
rnacentral:lncRNA from 1 species